rnacentral:rRNA from 1 species
GCUUGUCUCAAAGAUUAAGCCAUGCAUGUCUAAGUAUAAACAAAUUUAUAGUGAAACUGCGAAUGGCUCAUUAUAUCAGUUAUAGUUUAUUUGGCGAUAAAAACUACUUGGAUAACCGUAGUAAUUCUAGAGCUAAUACAUGCAUCAAGCCCCGACUUCUGGAAGGGGUGUAUUUAUUAGAUGGAAACCAAUGCGGGGCAACCCGGUAUAUGGUGAUUCAUAAUAACUUUCGGAUCGAUUUAUCGAUGCAUCAUUCAAGUUUCUGCCCUAUCAGCUUUGGAUGGUAGGGUAUUGGCCUACCAUGGCUUUAACGGGUAACGGAGAAUUAGGGUUCGAUUCCGGAGAGGGAGCCUGAGAAAUGGCUACCACAUCCAAGGAAGGCAGCAGG